ACGAACGCUGGCGGCGUGCUUCACCCAUGCAAGUCGCACGGAAAGGCCCUGCUUUUGUGGGGUGCUCGAGUGGCGAACGGGUGAGUAACACGUGAGUAACCUGCCCUUGACUUUGGGAUAACUUCAGGAAACUGGGGCUAAUACCGGAUAGGAGCUCCUGCUGCAUGGUGGGGGUUGGAAAGUUUCGGCGGUUGGGGAUGGACUCGCGGCUUAUCAGCUUGUUGGUGGGGUAGUGGCUUACCAAGGCUUUGACGGGUAGCCGGCCUGAGAGGGUGACCGGCCACAUUGGGACUGAGAUACGGCCCAGACUCCUACGGGAGGCAGCAGUGGGGAAUAUUGCACAAUGGGCGGAAGCCUGAUGCAGCAACGCCGCGUGCGGGAUGACGGCCUUCGGGUUGUAAACCGCUUUCGCCUGUGACGAAGCGUGAGUGACGGUAAUGGGUAAAGAAGCACCGGCUAACUACGCG
rnacentral:rRNA from 1 species